UAGGGAAUCUUCGGCAAUGGGGGGAACCCUGACCGAGCAACGCCGCGUGAGUGAAGAAGGUUUUCGGAUCGUAAAGCUCUGUUGUUAAGGAAGAACGAGUGUGAGAAUGGAAAGUUCAUACUGUGACGGUACUUAACCAGAAAGGGACGGCUAACUACGUGCCAGCAGCCGCGGUAAUACGUAGGUCCCGAGCGUUGUCCGGAUUUAUUGGGCGUAAAGCGAGCGCAGGCGGUUAGGUAAGUCUGAAGUUAAAGGCAGUGGCUCAACCAUUGUAGGCUUUGGAAACUGUUUAACUUGAGUGCAGAAGGGGAGAGUGGAAUUCCAUGUGUAGCGGUGAAAUGCGUAGAUAUAUGGAGGAACACCGGUGGCGAAAGCGGCUCUCUGGUCUGUAUCUGACGCUGAGGCUCGAAAGCGUGGGGAGCGAACAGG
rnacentral:rRNA from 1 species